rnacentral:rRNA from 1 species
GACGAACGCUGGCGGCGUGCUUAACACAUGCAAGUCGAGCGGUAAGGCCCUUCGGGUACGACGAGCGGCGAACGGGUGAGUAACACGUGGGUGGACCUGCCCUUACGCUCUGGGGAGUAAAGCCUGGGAAACGUAGGGUCUAAUACCGGAUAUGACCUCAUGACGCAUGUUGUGGGGUGGAAAGCCUUGUGCGGCUAGGG